rnacentral:rRNA from 1 species
GUGGGGAAUAUUGGACAAUGGGGGGAACCCUGAUCCAGCCAUGCCGCGUGUGUGAAGAAGGCCUUUUGGUUGUAAAGCACUUUAAGCGAGGAGGAGGCUACCGAGAUUAAUACUCUUGGAUAGUGGACGUUACUCGCAGAAUAAGCACCGGCUAACUCUGUGCCAGCAGCCGCGGUAAUACAGAGGGUGCGAGCGUUAAUCGGAUUUACUGGGCGUAAAGCGCGCGUAGGUGGCCAAUUAAGUCAAAUGUGAAAUCCCCGAGCUUAACUUGGGAAUUGCAUUCGAUACUGGUUGGCUAGAGUAUGGGAGAGGAUGGUAGAAUUCCAGGUGUAGCGGUGAAAUGCGUAGAGAUCUGGAGGAAUACCGAUGGCGAAGGCAGCCAUCUGGCCUAAUACUGACACUGAGGUGCGAAAGCAUGGGGAGCAAACAGGAUUAGAUACCCGAGUAGUCC